rnacentral:rRNA from 1 species
AACAAACGCUGGCGGCGUGCCUAACACAUGCAAGUCGUACGAGAAAGGGUCUUUCGGGACCUGAGUAAAGUGGCGCACGGGUGAGUAACGCGUGGAUAAUCUGCCCUUCAGUUGGGAACAACUCAUCGAAAGGUGGGCUAAUACCGAAUAAUACUGCAAGACUUAGGUCGAGCAGUCAAAGAGAGCCUCUGCUUGCAAGCCCUCGCUGAAGGAUGAGUCCGCGUACCAUUAGCUAGUUGGCAGGGUAACGGCCUACCAAGGCGACGAUGGUUAGCUGGUCUGAGAGGAUGAUCAGCCACACUGGAACUGAGACACGGUCCAGACUCCUACGGGAGGCAGCAGUGAGGAAUCUUGCGCAAUGGGGGAAACCCUGACGCAGCAACGCCGCGUGAGUGAGGAAGGCCUUCGGGUCGUAAAGCUCUGUCAGUUGGAAAGAAAUGCCUGAGAGUCAAUACCUUUCAGGCUUGACGGUACCAACAGAGGAAGCACCGGCUAACUCCGUGCCAGCAGCCGCGGUAAUACGGGGGGUGCAAGCGUUGUUCGGAAUUAUUGGGCGUAAAGAGCGUGUAGGCGGCCGGAUGUGUCAGAUGUGA